UCCCUGGUGGCUCAGAGGUUAAAGCGUCUGCCUCCAAUGCAGGAGACCCCAGUUCGAUCCCUGGGUCGGGAA
rnacentral:tRNA from 1 species